rnacentral:other from 1 species
AGGAUCCUGAGGAGUUUAGUUACGGUGAUUUUGUUUUCAACCAACACCACGACAUCGGGAAUUUGAGUUCAAUUACGUAUGGAAAGCCCACUAUGAUGGGACUUCAGAAAUAAUUGAUAGGAUACCCACUUUAAGAGCGGGCUUGAAAACAUAGCUGGACGGCUUCACGGGAUAAAA